UACAGGGGGUGCAAACGUUGCUCGGAAUUAUUGGGCGUAAAGCGCGCGUAGGCGGCUACCUAAGUCGGAUGUGAAAGCCCCUGGCUCAACUGGGGAAGUGCACCCGAAACUGAGUAGCUAGAGUGCAAAAGAGGGUCGCGGAAUUCCCGGUGUAGAGGUGAAAUUCGUAGAUAUCUGGAGGAACACCGGUGUCGAAGGCGGCAUCCUGGACCGGUAUUGACGCUGAGGCGCGAAAGCCAGGGGAGCAAACAGG
rnacentral:rRNA from 1 species